rnacentral:lncRNA from 10 species
UAGUGACUAAGUCUCACAAGAGCUGAUGAUUUUAUAAAAGGUUUCCCCUUUCACUUGGCACUCAUUUCUCUCUUCCCUGCAGCCAUGUAAGACCUGCCUUUCACCUUCUGCCAUGACUGUGAGGCCUCCCCUGCCACGUGGAACUGUGAGGCCAUUAAACCUCCUUUUCUUUGUAAAUUACCCAGUCUUGGGUAUGUCUUUAUCAGCAGCAUGACGAUGAACUAAUACAGUAUCACACGUAAAGAAACAAAAAGCUUAUCACUAUCAAACAAAGUGUUUACCAUAACAAAGUUUAAGGCUUGAACAUGUAUUCUUUAAGAUAAUGCAAAGAACAUACACUCUGGUAAUUUUAAUUUCAGCCUGAAAUGUCCUAUAUCCACACUGUUUCCUAAUUUCCUAGGGGGGAAAAUCCUAUUUAAUCUGCACCAUGUUCACUCCUCUGUCUGUUCUCCGCUGGCUACCCAGCUGCGGGAAUGUCUG